rnacentral:autocatalytically_spliced_intron from 1 species
GUGCGACCUGAAGUUGCAUUGUUGUGAUGGUUAAAUUCCAUCUCCCCAGACAUCAGGGGUAAAGCAUGGCCCACAUUCUGAGAGGUGGCAACUUUUGGGAUGCAAGCAUGGGACAAAAGGAGGUAACACCAAACCUUAUGGUGAAUCCCUUCGAGCAAAGCUGCAUAAGGUUACGAAAGAAACCUAUGUUAGAACUGUCGUUACGCGGAAUAUGCGAAAAAAGGUUGAACACGCAUAGACCAAAAUGGUAUGAGAUAAUUUAAGGAAUUAGAAUAGUAGAUGUCUAGUUUUGAUGUUCUUAAUCUUCGGUGGAGACUAAGUGCGGCGUGAAACAAGAAUGUAGAACAGGGUAACCAUCAUAUUUGCUCUCUUGAGAAGGUAGCCAAACCGCAAGCUUUAUGAUGGAAGGAUUGUCUAAGAAGCUAAUGCCUGAAAUAAUAUUCAGGAUAUGCUGACGUAGACACUAUAAUUUGGAAGAUAAAGUUGUAAGUAGUAGUAAAUAUGUUAUGAACCAACAAAAAGUUAGGUAUGAAUGGAAUGAAAUUCCCUGGCGUAAGUUAGAACAAUCUUCAUUUAAGCUGCAAAAACGAAUUUACCAAGCUUCUAAAUGUAAUGAUGUCAAAAGGAUGCACAAUCUUCAGAGACUAUUACUCAAAUCAACAAGUGCAAGGAUGCUUGCUGUUAGAAGGGUAACUCAGGAUAAUAGAGGAAGAAAGACAGCAGGUAUUGAUGGAAAAGCUAGCCUUAAGCAAAAAGAAAGAUUGCAAUUAGCAAACUCUUUAAAUAUAAGGGAAAAAGCAAAACCAUCAAGACGUGUUUGGAUUCCAAAAUCUGUUAAACCAACAGAAUAUCGUCCUCUUGGAAUACCUACAAUAGCAGAUCGAGCAAAACAAACACUUGUAAAAAUGGCUUUAGAACCUGAAUGGGAGGCAAAAUUUGAGCCUAACACUUAUGGUUUUAGACCUGGUAGAUCUUGUCACGAUUCUAUAAGAGCUAUAUUUGAUGCACUAAAAAGAAAAAUGGCAUUUGUCUUGGAUGCAGAUAUAUCUGGAUGCUUUGACAAUAUUGACCAUAAGGUGUUAUUGGAAAAGCUUCAUACCACACCAACUAUAGUAAAGAUUAUAAGAGGAUGGUUAAAAGCUGGCAUUAUGGAAGGAAAAGUAUUCCAAUUU